GGGCGAUUAGCUCAGUUGGUAGAGCAGUGGACUCUUAAUCCAUUUGUCCGGGGUUCGAGUCCCCGAUCGCCUACCA
rnacentral:tRNA from 1 species